CUGAUGACAAUCCAACACUUUAUCCUAAACGCCCCCACUGACUCGGCUCAGCCCACAGGAUGGAUCACGCCUGAAACAGAUGUCCUGGCUUCCCCGGGCCAAGGAAUCUCAGCCCCUCCCAGUAGAUGAGACACUUCAUCCCUUGGACACCAGAAGCAUCUUCCGGAUUUCAUCAGGCAAGCAUGCUGUGAGCCACCAGCAAAUCCUGUGGACUUCGCCUUCACAGUAUAGCCAGACUCCCCGGCCCUUCUCACCACGUCACCCGUCCAACUUGCAGUCACCUCUCACCUGGAUGACUGCAACAGCCACCCAACUAGUCUCUGCUCUUUCCUCUUUUGUAUGCUUCCAGCCUGGAUUUCUCACACAGCAGAGGAAGGGUUUCAAGAAGGAGAGCAAAUGGUGCAUAUUGUCACUUCUUCUGCAUUCCGUUGGCCAAUGCAAGUCACAAGUGGGAAAAGAGGUGCCAUCUCUGGAUGGAUGAAGCAGCAAAGUCGCAUUGCGAAGGUAUUUCUUCUGAGUGUUCUCCGAGGACUGGACCCCGACUGGAAGGGACAGAAGCUGGAGUUUUGGAAAGAAAUGGAACAGACAAUGGGACUAUCACCUCCUGUUGAUCCAUAACAAAAGAGCGCACUCAGUAUGAACGGGUUCCGUGACUUUCUCCUGAGCAAACCUGUGCAGAAGGAUGAAAGGCUUUCUCCCCAGCUGUCAACAAGUACAAUUCAUUAAGGAACAUUUACAUGCACAGAGGAAAGGGAGCAUAAAUUCUCCCACCCUGAAGGAGACAGAACAAAAGUCAUUGCAAAGAUCAGGUCAGAAGUUGGCCAAAUUUGCAAGAGAAAUCCUGUAAGCAAUGGCCCUCUUUUUCAGUCUUUGUCACUAACUUCUACAUGCGAAGAGCCCCCAUUUGUCAUUUAAUUUGGUUUGGAAAUGACUCCACCUGGAUUUAGGAGACGUGAAGCAAUGCGAUGUUUCAGGAAACAGAAAGAUGUCCUAGUCAGAGAGACGACAUGAAUCCUCCAUCAGCCUCUACCGCGUGGCUCUGACCCUUCCCAACUUCUCUACCCCUCCUCACUUGUAAACUCGGGCCGAU
rnacentral:lncRNA from 1 species